CUUCGGGGCUUGGAGAAUUCUCCGUGAAUCUCAGCGAUUCGCCUCCAUCAACGAUGACGUCCAUUCAUUUAAGCGCUCGAAGAAUUUCGCCGAGAGGGUGUACACGAAGACAUCCUCCGAUCCAAGCAUCACGACUAAGCUUAUAGGCUAAAAGACGGUGAAACGCGAUAAGGGGAUGGGUAAAAAGGUAGAGUCAUCGGCGUACACAGAACAUGGGCAAUACUUAUCGAUAAUGAAUAGGUUGCAACCUUCAUCAAAGAUUUCAACCAGACGUACGCGAACUAGCCGACACCCAAAUUAUCGGAAUGGACAAAUCAAAAAUGGGCCGAAAGAAUUGAUCAUCCACAAGGCAAUGGUUGUGAAAAUUUGCAAAUGUCGAUCGAUGAUGGAAUUUAUAAUUUAUUUAUUUAUUUAUUGUAAUUAGGGAUGGCAAUAAUACCCGCGGUACCCGACCCUAAUGGGUCAGGUAUGGGGGUGAAAUUUUGGGGGCGGGGUUCGGGGUCGGGUAUGAAACUUAUACCCGGGUCGGGUUCGGAUCGGGUUCGGGGGUAUAGGUACACGCCCCGAUUGUACUUUUAUAUGUUUCAUAGAAUUUGUGUUAGA
rnacentral:lncRNA from 1 species